rnacentral:sRNA from 1 species
AUUCUGCCCAUGCGGGGAAGGAUGAGAAGCUUCGACCAAGGUUCGACUCGAGCGCCAGCGAGAGAGCGUUGCCGCAGGCAACGACCCGAAGGGCGAAG